rnacentral:rRNA from 1 species
GACGAACGCUGGCGGCGUGCUUAACACAUGCAAGUCGAACGGUAAGGCCCUUUCGGGGGUACACGAGUGGCGAACGGGUGAGUAACACGUGGGUGAUCUGCCCUGCACUUUGGGAUAAGCCUGGGAAACUGGGUCUAAUACCGGAUAGGACUACGCGAUGCAUGUCGUGUGGUGGAAAGCUUUUGCGGUGUGGGAUGGGCCCGCGGCCUAUCAGCUUGUUGGUGGGGUGAUGGCCUACCAAGGCGACGACGGGUAGCCGGCCUGAGAGGGUGACCGGCCACACUGGGACUGAGAUACGGCCCAGACUCCUACGGGAGGCAGCAGUGGGGAAUAUUGCACAAUGGGCGCAAGCCUGAUGCAGCGACGCCGCGUGGGGGAUGACGGCCUUCGGGUUGUAAACCCCUUUCAGCACAGACGAAGCGUAAGUGACGGUAUGUGCAGAAGAAGCACCGGCCAACUACGUG